UACAGAGGUCUCAAGCGUUGUUCGGAUUCAUUGGGCGUAAAGGGUGCGUAGGUGGCGCCGUAAGUCAGGUGUGAAAUUUCGGAGCUUAACUCCGAAACUGCAUUUGAUACUGCGGUGCUUGAGGACUGGAGAGGAGACUGGAAUUUACGGUGUAGCAGUGAAAUGCGUAGAGAUCGUAAGGAAGACCAGUGGCGAAGGCGGGUCUCUGGACAGUUCCUGACACUGAGGCACGAAGGCCAGGGAAGCAAACGGG
rnacentral:rRNA from 1 species